CCUACGGGGGGCUGCAGUGAGGAAUAUUGGUCAAUGGGCGAGAGCCUGAACCAGCCAAGUCGCGUGAGGGAAGACGGUCCUAUGGAUUGUAAACCUCUUUUGCCGGGGAGCAAAAAGCGGUACGUGUACCGCAUCGAGAGUACCCGGAGAAAAAGCAUCGGCUAACUCCGUGCCAGCAGCCGCGGUAAUACGUAGGUGGCAAGCGUUGUCCGGAUUUACUGGGUGUAAAGGGCGUGCAGCCGGAGAGACAAGUCAGAUGUGAAAUCCACGGGCUCAACCCGUGAACUGCAUUUGAAACUGUUUCCCUUGAGUGUCGGAGAGGUAAUCGGAAUUCCUUGUGUAGCGGUGAAAUGCGUAGAUAUAAGGAAGAACACCAGUGGCGAAGGCGGAUUACUGGACGAUAACUGACGGUGAGGCGCGAAAGCGUGGGGAGCAAACAGGAUUAGAUACCCCUGUAGUC
rnacentral:rRNA from 1 species